GACGAACGCUGGCGGCGUGCUUAACACAUGCAAGUCGAACGAAAAUACCAAGCUUGCUUGGUUGAUUAGUGGCGAACGGGUGAGUAACACGUGAGUAACCUGCCCCUUACUUUCCUGGAUAACUGCUCGAAAGGGUAGCUAAUACGGGAUAUUCUGACCAGCCUGCAUGGGUUGGUUUGGAAAGGUUGUUUUUCUGGUAAGGGAUGGGCUCGCGGCCUAUCAGCUUGUUGGUGGGGUGAUGGCCUACCAAGGCUUUGACGGGUAGCCGGCCUGAGAGGGUGGACGGUCAGACGGGGACUGAGAUACGGCCCAGACUCGUACGGGAGGAAGCAGUGGGGAAGAUGGCACAAGGGGCGAAAGCCAGAUGCAGCGACGCCGCGUGAGGGAGGAAGGCCUUCGGGGUGUAAACCUCUUUCGUCAGGGAACAAGGCACUGCUUUUUUGGGGGUGUUGAGGGUACCUGGAUAAGAAGCGCCGGCUAACUACGUG
rnacentral:rRNA from 1 species